ACGAACGCUAGCGGCGUGCCUUAUGCAUGCAAGUCGAACGGUCCCGGGGCAACUCGGGACAGUGGCGCACGGCUGAGUAACGCGUAAGUACCUGCCCGGAAGUGGGGGAUAACCCCGCGAAAGCGGGGCUAAUACCGCGUGUGAUCCGAGGGCGAAAGCCCUCGGAGGAAAGCCGCAAGGCGCUUCCGGAGGGGCUUGCGCCCUAUCAGGUAGUUGGCGGGGUAAUGGCCCACCAAGCCGAAGACGGGUAGCUGGUCUGAGAGGACGACCAGCCAGACGGGGACUGAGACACGGCCCCGACUCCUACGGGAGGCAGCAGCAAGGAAUCUUGCGCAAUGGGCGAAAGCCUGACGCAGCGACGCCGCGUGGAGGAUGAAGGCCUUCGGGUCGUAAACUCCUUUUGCCAGGGAAGACAACCGACGGUACCUGGCGAAUAAGCCCCGACUAACUACGUGCCAGCAGUCGCGGUAAUACGUAGGGGGCAAGCGUUGUCCGGAUUUACUGGGCGUAAAGGGCGCGUAGGCGGUCCGUUAAGUCGGCCGUGAAAUCCCUCGGCUCAACUGAGGGGCGCCGGCCGAGACUAGCGGGCUGGAGGGAGGCAGAGGAGAGCGGAAUUCCCGGUGGAGCGGUGAAAUGCGUAGAGAUCGGGAGGAACACCCGUGGCGAAAGCGGCUCUCUGGGCCUCUCCUGACGCUGAGGCGCGAAAGCGUGGGGAGCAAACCGGAUCAGAUACCCGGGUAGUCCACGCCGUAAACGAUGGGCACUGGGUCUGGGGGAGUUUCGACCCUCCUCCGGGCCGAAGCUAACGCGUUAAGUGCCCCGCCUGGGGAGUACGGCCGCAAGGCUAAAACUCAAAGGAAUUGACGGAGGCCCGCACAAGCAGCGGAGCGUGUGGUUUAAUUCGACGCAAAGCGAAGAACCUUACCUGGGCUUGACAUGUAGGAAGUAGGAACCCGAAAGGGGGACGACCUGUAAAGUCAGGAGCCUGCACAGGUGCUGCAUGGCUGUCGUCAGCUCGUGCCGUGAGGUGUUGGGUUAAGUCCCGCAACGAGCGCAACCCUUGUCGCUAGUUGCUCUCUCUAGCGAGACCGCCGGGGGAGACCCGGAGGAAGGCGAGGAUGACGUCAAGUCAGCAUGGCCUUUAUACCCAGGGCUACACACACGCUACAAUGGGGAGUAACAGAGGGUCGCUAAGCCGCGAGGUGGAGCUAAUCCCAUCAAACCUCCCCCCAGUUCAGAUUGCAGGCUGCAACCCGCCUGCAUGAAGCCGGAGUUGCUAGUAACCGCAGGUCAGCACUACUGCGGUGAAUACGUUCCCGGGCCUUGUACACACCGCC
rnacentral:rRNA from 1 species